ensembl:snRNA LOC120095503 U6 spliceosomal RNA
GUGCUUACUUCGGCAGCACAUAUACUAAAAUUGGAACGAUACAGAGAAGAUGAGCAUGGCCCCUGCACAAGGAUGACACACGAAUUCGUGGAGCGUUCCAUAUUUAA